rnacentral:lncRNA from 10 species
GUGUGGAGGGCUGUGACUGGGUGUUGUCAAUUUCCUGAGGAGACGAUACAGGAAGAGGGGCUGGGAGAAGCAAAGGAAAAAGGAACAGAUGGGGAACUAAGGUAUAAAAUAAGUUCAACACUGGCAACCAUCUGAUAACCACAGAGAAAUGAGACUGAGGAUAAAACUAAUCUAAAGAGGAUACCAACGAAGCUGUAACCCUCCAGUUACAUAAACCAGUGUCCUGAGGGAGAAGCUGGUGCCCUUUAUCACACAGCUAACAACGCUCCUGGCCCAUGGAUCAGAGAAGUUGAAGGAAAAUACAGAGGAAGUUCUAACAGUGGCAGACCUAAUUACUGCACCAUGCCAAGCAGGUAAUCCAGCAGAAGAAAGGAAUGGAAUCUGAGCUAACCUACCAUGUUUGUACUGGAAGUCCUGCCAACAGCAUUUAAGGAGGCCUGGAGUGGUGACAGUUUGAGACAAGGACAAGAGCACCAGACUUCAGAACUUGACAUCCACAAAAUGUAAAUAAGAUGAAAGUUCAGCUCUGUCAUUUGACAUAUGAGUUCCGCCCUCUGCCCCUACUCCUAGCAACUCUCUGAGCCUCAGCUCUGCCUUCAGUAAGUCGUUCCUUUCCAUAAUAGGACAGUGGGAAGAUUUUUUGCUCAUAAAGAACAUGACUAUAGCUAUUGAUUUCUGGGAAAUGUUAAAACAACAAGGUUUUCAAUUCCUUUGUUGACAAGUGAAAAUAUUUUCUUUGUUAACUAAUGUUUCAGAACUGGGCUUUCUAUAUUGAAGAAAAAUUAAUGAAGAAAAAUAAAUCAAUUUUACAAAAUGUCCCUGAAAAAUUCUACCCCAAACUGUCCUGAGAUUUGCUAGUCAGCAAGCUUAACAUACAAUUUGAAAAAGAAAUAUGAGGUUGAAUCCCCAAGACAGUAAAAGAGUAGACAUCACGGGAGGACAUUAUUC